UGACCGGAUUGAGACUACUUUCGCUUUAAGAGGGUGGGUAGGAUAAUUACACAGGUGUUUAAAGUCUCGCGACACUGAGAAUCUAUCGUUUGAUCCCGUUCCCUCUGGUAUGUGUGUGCGUUGGAAGGACUGCUGCGACUAGUCUGUUAUACGAUCUUGUUAAAAAGUAUCGUUCUAUUUCGUUUCCUCUGGUAUGCCUGUGUCCUAAAGGUCGCUGUGGAUAUUCUGCCCCUUCAAUUUGGUGGAGUUAGCGACUUUAGUGAUUGCUGGGCAUUCUUAAGGGGUGUCCUGUAUCAGGUAAAGAUGCUGCGGUGGUGUUUUAAGAGUUGAACGUAUAAUUACGAGAUAUCGUGUAAAUUAAGUGUGUUGCUACAGUUCCUAAAAGUAGACGCACCGCUUUCCAGAACAGGAUGUGUAGCAAAUAACCAAUUGCUCGAUAACACCUGAGAUCACUAGCCAGCUUCGUUCAUAUUGGACAAAGGGGAAAAGCUUCUCUUCAAUUGAGGUAGCCAGGUUAAUCUGGCUGUUUAAAAAGGAGGAGUACUUUUGGCUGUUGAUUGGGCAACCACUGUUUCUUUCCUUUUUGUAUUUUUCUAUUUAUUUUCUUUUUAAGUUUGAUCUCCCUCUACUUGGGUUUGCGCUGUGGGUUUGUGUAGGAAUUGAGUUCUUGUGUAUUGGGUGUUUGCUUAUUUGUUUAUUCUUUGGAUUUGAGGUGCGAUCGAAAUAUUUUUCAUACAGGUUUAUUUUUGAUGUGAUUUUUGUGUUUAAUUUUUUUUAUUAAAUGCCAGAACCCAUUCCUUUAUGCCCAGUGAGUGUUUAAAUCUGAACCAGUAGGGGGGGAAUCUGUUGAGUCUUUUUAUAUGUGAAGCUCGUAUUUUAUCAUUGCUGUUAAAUAAAUUGUAAACUCCUUUGUACUCUGGCUUCUAAUUCAUUCACUUGAAUUGCUUGAGCGGGUUGUCUUAUUUCUCCCACUAAGUUGCUAAAGUGGGGGUGGCGUAGUCACUCUUAGUUGAAUUAUCCCAAAUUAGGAAUUUAUAUCCUAUGGUUCCUAUGCCUUUGGUCACACUUAAAAAUCGAAAUAUGUCUAAUAACAUAAGGUUAUUGCUUGACCUUUUAUAUUAUUUUGAUUUAGUGCAAUCUGUUGCCCUUAUAAAAUCACUCAACUGGCUGACACUUCCUUAUUUUUAAAAGAUGAAACAGUUGACCCAUGUGUUGAAUUUAGUAAAGUUUUUCUCAGGUGCUUCUGGUCUAAACGUAAAUUUUGCCAAGUGUGAUCUAUUGCCACUCCAGGAAUGUAAGGAAUCUCCUUUUAACAAUAUUCUGCUGAAAUACAUUGUUAAAUACAGUAAUAAAU